rnacentral:rRNA from 1 species
AACGAACGCUGGCGGCAUGCCUAACACAUGCGAGUCGAACGAGACCUUCGGGUCUAGUGGCGCACGGGUGCGUAACGCGUGGGAACCUGCCCUUAGGUUCGGAAUAACUCCCCGAAAGGGGUGCUAAUACCGGAUAAUGUCUUCGGACCAAAGAUUUAUCGCCUUUGGAUGGGCCCGCGUUGGAUUAGCUAGUUGGUAGGGUAAAAGCCUACCAAGGCGACGAUCCAUAGCUGGUCUGAGAGGAUGAUCAGCCACACUGGGACUGGGACACGGCCCAGACUCCUACGGGAGGCAGCAGUGGGGAAUAUUGGACAAUGGGCGAAAGCCUGAUCCAGCAAUGCCGCGUGAGUGAUGAAGGCCUUAGGGUUGUAAAGCUCUUUUACCCGGGAUGAUAAUGACAGUACCGGGAGAAUAAGCUCCGGCUAACUCCGUG